CCUACGGGAGGCAGCAGUGGGGAAUAUUGGGCAAUGGGCGCAAGCCUGACCCAGCAACGCCGCGUGAAGGAAGAAGGCUUUCGGGUUGUAAACUUCUUUUGUCAGGGAAGAGUAGAAGAAGGUACCUGACGAAUAAGACACGGCUAACUACGUGCCAGCAGGCGCGGUAAUACGUAGGUGGCAAGCGUUUUCCGGAUUUACUGGGUGUAAAGGGCGUGUAGCCGGGUUGACAAGUCAGAUGUGAAAUCCUUCGGCUUAACCGCAGAACUGCAUGUGAAACUGUUGAUCUUGAGUACUGGAGAGGCAGAUGGAAUUCCUAGUGUAGCGGUGAAAUGCGUAGAUAUUAGGAGGAACACCAGUGGCGAAGGCGGUCUGCUGGACAGCAACUGACGGUGAGGCGCGAAAGCGUGGGGAGCAAACAGGAUUAGAUACCCCUGUAGUC
rnacentral:rRNA from 1 species